rnacentral:rRNA from 1 species
CCUACGGGAGGCAGCAGUAGGGAAUCUUUCACAAUGGGCGAAAGCCUGAUGGAGCAACGCCGCGUGCAGGAUGAAGGCCUUCGGGUUGUAAACUGCUUUUAUAAGCGAGAAAUAUGAUGGUAACUUAUGAAUAAGGAUCGGCUAACUACGUGCCAGCAGCCGCGGUCAUACGUAGGGAGCAAGCGUUGUCCGGAUUUACUGGGUGUAAAGGGUGCGUAGGCGGCUUUGCAAGUCAGAAGUGAAAUCCAUGGGCUUAACCCAUGAACUGCUUUUGAAACUGCAGAGCUUGAGUGGAGUAGAGGUAGGCGGAAUUCCCGGUGUAGCGGUGAAAUGCGUAGAGAUCGGGAGGAACACCAGUGGCGAAGGCGGCCUGCUGGGCUCUAACUGACGCUGAGGCACGAAAGCGUGGGUAGCAAACAGGAUUAGAUACCCCAGUAGUC